AUUUUAUGUAGGUUAAAAUAAACCGUUAGUUUGUGGUACUAAAGAUUUUAUGUUUUGAACUAAAAUA
rnacentral:tRNA from 1 species